rnacentral:tRNA from 5 species
GUUGGUAGAGCUCCGCUCUUGCAAUUGGGUCGUUGCGAGUUCGAGUCCGCUUAUCUCCAACUCAUGAACUUAG